rnacentral:rRNA from 1 species
AUUAGUUUGAUCAUGGCUCAGGAUGAACGCUGGCGGCGUGCUUAAUGCAUGCAAGUCGAACGAGGACCCUUUGAUUGGUAACUUUCGAAGGACUCCUAGUGGCGAACGGGUGAGUAACACGUGAGCAACCUGCCCCGAAGACCGGGAUAACCCAUGGAAACGUGGAUUAAUACCGGAUACCCUCGAGGGACCGAAUGGCCCCAUGAAGAAAGGCUCCGGCGCUUCGGGAUGGACUCGCGGCCUAUCAGCUUGUUGGUGAGGUAACGGCUCACCAAGGCUCUGACGGGUAGCUGGUCUGAGAGGACGAUCAGCCACACUGGGACUGAGACACGGCCCAGACUCCUACGGGAGGCAGCAGCAGGGAAUAUUGCACAAUGGGCGCAAGCCUGAUGCAGCGACGCCGCGUGAGGGAUGAAGGCUUUCGAGUUGUAAACCUCUUUCAGUGGGGAAGAAGCGCAAGUGACGGUACCCACACAAGAAGGCCCGGCCAACUACGUGCCAGCAGCCGCGGUAAUACGUAGGGGCCAAGCGUUAUCCGGAUUUAUUGGGCGUAAAGAGCUCGUAGGCGGCUUGGCAAGUCGGUCGUGAAAGUCCGAGGCUCAACCUCGGAAUGCCGGUCGAAACUGCCACGGCUAGGGUUCGGUAGAGGAGAGUGGAAUUCUCGGUGUAGCGGUGAAAUGCGCAGAUAUCGAGAGGAACACCAGUAGCGAAGGCGGCUCUCUGGGCCGGCACCGACGCUGAGGAGCGAAAGCUAGGGGAGCAAACAGGAUUAGAUACCCUGGUAGUCCUAGCCGUAAACGUUGGGCACUAGGUGUGGCGGAGUCAUUGACAUCUGCCGUGCCGAAGCUAACGCAUUAAGUGCCCCGCCUGGGGAGUACGGUCGCAAGGCUAAAACUCAAA